rnacentral:lncRNA from 1 species
AUGACAGGGGGCCUGAGGGAGGGGAGACACACUCAGGGGACCGGCCCACGGGGCUCCCCUUGGCCAGCGGAGGAUCUCAGCGGUGGGGGAAGGGGCCGACCAGGGGAGGGGCUCCGGGCGAGGGGCUUGCUUCGGCUCCCGGGCGAGGGGCGGGAAGCCGAGCAGGUGCUCCGCGGGAAGACGGGCCCAGGGCCCAACUGGCCCCGCGCGGAGGGGGCUCUGACUGAGCGGGACAGACCCACCCAGAGAGGGGGCCUGCGCUGGACCUGGGGGAGGGGCCGGCUUGGCCCAGGGUCGCCCGGCAAGUACCGCGGGGGCGGGAGGGCGCGGAGGGGGAGCUGUCCAAGGUGGGCGCGCCGAGGGCCAGGGCCCCUCGGAUCUGGGGAGGGGGCUCCGGUGGGGGGGCCGCCGGGAGGAGGAGGGCCCGGCCCCGCGGCCGGGAGGGUGGGGCUCGGACAAAGGAGGGGCGCGCGCGUGAGGGGCGGCGGGGCCCGGAGCCCCGGCCCCCCGCCCCGGCCGCCUACCUGGGCGCUCGUCCUGCGGCGCCGCCGCGGCUGCUGCUGGCCGGCUCGUGUCCGCUCGGGCGCCGCCGCCCCCCGCGCGCCCGCCGCCCGCCCGCCCGAGCCGCCGCCGCCGCCGCCGCCGCCGCCGCCGCCGCGCCCGCGCCCGUCCCCGCCCGUCCCCGCCCGCCGGGCGCCGCGCUCCGCCCCUCCCCGGGGACCCGCGCCCGGCCAAGGUCACCGCCGCGCCGACCCCCGCCCCGCGCACACGCGCCCCUGCCGGCGCACCGGGGAGCCGCCGGGCCGCGGGGGCGCCGUGGGGUGGGGUCUGCCUCCGGGGGGCCCCUGCGCCCCAGGGUCACCCCGGAGCCAGGAGCUGGGCAAGAGCCGGGCAGAGUCGAGGUCACCCGGGGAGCAAAGGGAGGGGGCCGUUGGCAGAAGUGCACGUGAGGGGCUGGGGGAGCAGAAGGGGCCGGCGGGGGCGGGGGUGGGUUGGUGGGGCCCCACACUAGAGUGGGGCUGUUGCUGGGAUGAAGACGGCAUCUCCGACGAGGAGAUGUCUGAGGCAGCAGCUGGGGGGCAGUGGGAAUGUCCCUGGAGACCCCGCCCCCACCUGAGGGGCCUCCCCCCCCCCCCACUCCCGGCAGGGGCCGCAGAGGGGAGCGAGAGAGGAAGUGAAGACCGCGCUAGGUCUGGGUCUGGGUCGGGGGAUGGCAGCUGUAAGACUGGGGGCCCAUUUGAAUGGAGGGGUCAAUAA